GAGAAGCAAGGGGCCACGAUCCAUAUGCAGCCCCAAAAUCCUUAAAAUAGUACGGGAUGGCAGACAAAUUGUAUCUGGCCAUUGGGCUCGCCUACACCCACCCCCUCACACCCUAGUCAGUCAGCAUCUGUGUCCUUAACUGAGCUCCAAGAGAAAGAAUUUGCUUCAGCCCAUGGGAGACAGAGGAAGGUGAGGAUGGUGAUGGCUGCCUUUCUUUUGAAGGAGGUGAUAGAUACAGAGAUUGGGCAAUUGCGGAUAUGUGAGUGAGGGCACCUGGGGCGACCAUCAUGAGCAAAGCACAGUGGUGAGGAGUGACAUUACAACUUAGGAACCCCACUGAAGAAAAGCGGGUUGGAGGCAGCAACUCCUCAGGGUGAGCUGGGUCACACUGCAGUAACAGACCCUCCAGGUCUCCGUGGCAACGAUCUAUUUCUCUCUGUUACACCAUGGGUCAAGUGGGGACUCUGCUGUAUGCUGUCCUGAGUCAGACUGAUGGGCCUUCUACUUCCUGGACUACCCACAUCUACUGUACGUUCAAAAAUGAGGAGUGCUUGGCUUUUAUUGGCUCUCGUCUGGGAGUGACACAUCACUAUGGUCCUGUUAUUGGCCAGAACUAGCUGCAUGGCAGCACCUUCCCGGAAGUACAACCUUCCCAUAGGCCCAGAUGGAGAGAAACUGCAGACGCUGGGGAAGGGGGCAGGGCUUAAAUAUCCCACCAGGGACCUUGGAUGAAAGCUUUAAGUGGGAGACAGACUGUUAGAAGUGGAGUUAUAAGGAAGCCGAGAAGAAUACUUACGCCCAUGCCUGGAAGUGCCUCUCCUCUUUCAGCUUUUCAGACAUGUCUUUUACAAAGAAGGUACGAUCUUCUCUGCUUUGGAAGAAAUCUGUAAUGGAUUACAAAGCCCACUCCACCGCCCACCAUUGACCUUUCAGUAUUGGAAGUUUCAGAUGGAGAGGUUACUACCAACGUGGGCUGUGUGUGCGGACACUGGAACUUCUGAGAGUUUGAAAGCUAAGUUCCAGCUUCUUCCCAAGACCUGUUUUUUGUUCUCACAAGUCUGUAACAACCGGUUCUUCACAGUACGGAUCUUGUGUUCCCACCUUGGUGCAUGGGGUUAAUAUAUUCCUUCAGGGCUCUCUCUCUUUGGUCCCUAUGCAUCUCAAAUCCUGUUUGCCCUGGGAAUUUUUAAUAAACUUUUUUAUUGUUUUCAUCCUCA